UCCCUGGUGGCUCAAAGGUAAAUAAUCUGCCUGCCAAUGCAGAAGACAUGGGUUCAAUUCCUGUCCAGGAAG
rnacentral:tRNA from 1 species